ensembl:lncRNA
AAGUAGGACAGUUGAUUUAGACAUUUAAUUAACCAGUUGAAUAACUGACUAGAUCUGAUUAAUUAGUAGCUAAUUAUAAGGUCCUGCCAGAUUAAAUUGAUCUCUACUAACCCUAAGGGCAAUUACUAAUCGUUGUGAUAAUUUUUCCCCUGCAUUGUUACAGCAACCUCAGUUAGAAGUAAUGUGAUAAUUUAGGACUAUUAUAUAAGGCUGUCUCCUUGACACAGGACAGUGCUUCGAGCACUGCUAUAAUUAAUUUGAGGCAAUGUUAUUCCUAAUGCUUCUGAGUGAGAUCAGUAAUUAAGUAAUCAUUGAUUUUCUAGGCACAUUUUUGUAGUGCUAUUGAUAAUAUCAUAUUGCCUGUCAAUUCAUUGCCCACUGAAGUGCAGAUUGUAGUAGACAGCCAAACAGUAAGUCAGCAGAUAUGUUAAAGAUGGUGACCAAUGUGAGAAAUGAAAGGCAAAAAGUUUAUUUUCCAGGUUUUCUUAUAACCUUGACUUGGUGCUUGGUAAAAACAGAAUUUUUCUGAAUAGUGUGUGUCAGUGCUAUCUGAAUAGAAACUGAGCUAAGCACUCAUUGGGUACUUCUGUAAUACAAAUCGUUUGACUUAUGUUGCAGGUCUCAAAUAUUUUGCUCAAAAACAGAAAAGCAUAUGCCCACACUGGAUGUCAUCUGAGGGAUGCUUGGAAGGCAUGUCUGGCAGAUUUAUUCCAACAUAAUCGUAAUAACCACCUUCUCUCUAAACUUUGAAAACAUUCAUGGAAGCUGAUGGGAAUGCUCCUGUAAGUAUAUCUGAAGUGAUGCCAGUUACUGAUUAGUUGAAGAGGUCAUAGAACAUAAAUAUUUGAAUGGGAUCUUUCUAAUGGGCCAAGUCAAGUGGUGAGAUGGUCACAGGCUGUUCCAGUUCUAUUCUUCAGAUGANAUUUCACUGAGCAAUAAUUUUAUUAUGGAUUUGUCACUGCAGACAAACUAAAUGUAAUGCUGUCUUGAGUAACAGCCCUUCCUCUGAUUAGUCUCCCAGUUCCUCCAACAAAAUAUAAGGAGAUGGAGAUCAAUCACCCUUGUCAACUGCCAGGAGGAAACAGUCAUCGCCACUGAAUGAUAAAUGCAAUAGAUGUGUGAAUGUGAAUUCUUUUUUUUUUCUACUCCAAUCUCUUACUGGGUAAUCAUUUUCCUCCUCAGCCUAUAUAUGAAGCAGACUCUAGCAGAGAUUUAGGUAACGUGGAUGUUAACCUUCUCUUCACAAAUGGUCCAUAGGCCAGGCUAUGUUGCGUUAGAUCAUCAGUAAGGCUAGCAGAAGGACCUACUUCUUCCUCAGUUGCUUACAGAGAGCCACAUCCUGUGUCAGGGUUUCUCUUAUCAUUGUACAAUUUUAUGUUGGUUAACGAUGAAGUGACCCUUCUGUAGUAUAUUGGCAAAGGUACAAUAUCACUCUGCUUCGUAGCUUUUGCUUAAAGAUAACUAAUUCUUAUUUGCUUUCCUUAAUGCCACUUUGGUAACACUAAAGGAAUUAGUGAUUAGUGUGACUGCGUGAUCUAUUGAUUCACUGAGAAUAUGUGUUAUUUCC